GGAUAAGUGACCGAGUGGUCUAAGGUAUCAGUUUUGAAAGCUGACGCAGCUAAACUGCCGUGGGUUCGAAUCCUACCUUAUCCUA
rnacentral:tRNA from 1 species